ACGAACGCUGGCGGCGUGCUUCACACAUGCAAGUCGAACGGAAAGGCCCUGCUUUUGUGGGGUGCUCGAGUGGCGAACGGGUGAGUAACACGUGAGUAACCUGCCCUUGACUUUGGGAUAACUUCAGGAAACUGGGGCUAAUACCGGAUAGGAGCUCCUGCUGCAUGGUGGGGGUUGGAAAGUUUCGGCGGUUGGGGAUGGACUCACGGCUUAUCAGCUUGUUGGUGGGGUAGUGGCUUACCAAGGCUUUGACGGGUAGCCGGCCUGAGAGGGUGACCGGCCACAUUGGGACUGAGAUACGGCCCAGACUCCUACGGGAGGCAGCAGUGGGGAAUAUUGCACAAUGGGCGGAAGCCUGAUGCAGCAACGCCGCGUGCGGGAUGACGGCCUUCGGGUUGUAAACCGCUUUCGCCUGUGACGAAGCGUGAGUGACGGUAAUGGGUAAAGAAGCACCGGCUAACUACGUG
rnacentral:rRNA from 1 species